rnacentral:rRNA from 1 species
AUUGAACGCUGGCGGCAUGCCUUACACAUGCAAGUCGAACGGCAGCACGGGUGCUUGCACCUGGUGGCGAGUGGCGAAAGGGUGAGUAAUACAUCGGAACAUGUCCUGGAGUGGGGGAUAGCCCGGCGAAAGCCGGAUUAAUACCGCAUACGAUCUACGGAUGAAAGCGGGGGACCUUCGGGCCUCGCGCUAUAGGGUUGGCCGAUAGCUGAUUAGCUAGUUGGUGGGGUAAAGGCCUACCAAGGCGACGAUCAGUAGCUGGUCUGAGAGGACGACCAGCCACACUGGGACUGAGACACGGCCCAGACUCCUACGGGAGGCAGCAGUGGGGAAUUUUGGACAAUGGGCGAAAGCCUGAUCCAGCAAUGCCGCGUGUGUGAAGAAGGCCUUCGGGUUGUAAAGCACUUUUGUCCGGAAAGAAAUCCUUGGCUCUAAUACAGUCGGGGGAUGACGGUACCGGAAGAAUAAGCACCGGCUAACUACGUG